CACGGCUGACAGAUUGGAGAGACGAUGACUCCCAUUUUUGACUCGGAGACAGCUGGGUGUCGCUGUUUUGAGCAGAGAGAGAAGGGGACAGAGCGACUACAGAGCAGGGAGACACAGGGCCUGCAUUUCAGCUUUGACUCAGGGAGAGAGGGGAAGGGGACAUCACGGCCGACGAAUUUGAGAGAGACAAUGGCUCCCAUUUUUGACUCGGAGACAGCUGCGUGUCGUUGUGGCAAGCGGAGAGAGGGGGACAGAGCGACUACAUAGGAGAGACACACAGGGCCUAACAGAUUGGAGACGGAUUAGAGCUAUGGAUUUGGACUGAGUGAGAGAAAGAUUUUGCUAGCUCCUCUGCCAGGAUCUAUGGGAUUUUCUCCCAUUUUAGAGAGAGAGAUCGACAGGGAGAGAGAUAUAGAGCGGAAAGCAUGGGUGUGUGUAUUCUUUAGGGUUGACGAGUUACGCACAGAGUCGGUGAGGAAGGGAUGCCUCAGGGACGAAUGGCAGGGUCUGGGUUUUCAUUUUUCUCCCUUGAAUCAAAAGAUCCAGCAAAAGCAUACACAUCAAACCCCUCAUUCACACAACAGCCACCAAAGAGACCAUUACUGAGUUUUUGAGAAACAAAGAGCCUCAUCCACUGGAAUCUGUAAUUCAUAGCAGCAGAUUACAAAAAUUUUGAUCGUUUGAGGAAGAGGUUGGUUCCAUGCCGUUUUGAGUUUAGAUCGUGCUCACAUCGUUCAAUCAUAAUCUCCUCUUGCUGCUGCCUUUAAUCAAGGGGUUCUGAACCAUUACGUUUCAAUCAAGCCUUUGGUUUUGUUUUUAUCGUUGGAGUCCUGCAUUGUUCUUUGGUGGCAUUCAUUCACAGCUACGCUUUCGUCUCUACAACGAUUAAUCGAAGAGCAACAAAUUCGUUUUCUGACGCCAUACCAGCCAGCAAACAAGCUCCACAUCAGGGUAUCCAAAAUAUGGGUCACGAAAAGCAUCGGAGAUAAUCCUCAACCUAUAAGUCUUGAUUACGUCUUCGUUGAUAAGGAUAGAGAUGUGGUUCACGGAACCAUCAACGGUCGAGACAUCCAAUUUUUUUUGGACCAUCUAAGUGUCGGCAAUGCAUAUGAAAUCAACAAAUUUCGUGUCGUUCACAACAAAAGAUCAAGCAAGGUUGUCCCUCAUGCAACCAUCAUUGAAUUGAAUAGGAAAACCACAAUCAUUCCUAUUCACAAAACAAGUCAAGAACUCCCAAUGCACUGGUUCAAUUUAAUUGAGCUUAAUCAACUUCAUUAGAGAAUCGACAACGAUGUUGAGCUUACAGAUGUGUUUGGUUGCCUAACGGCUGUGCAGCCAACUGAAGAAAUCACUAUCCAGAACACAAGAGUUGCAAAGAAGAGAAAUCUAAACCUGCAAAACAUUAGGUAAUUUCUAUUUAUGUUAAACGCUAAAUAUUAUUUAUAUGCCACCCUAUUUAUGACAUAUACCAAACCAUCAUCUUUUGUAUUACUUACAGAGACGAAACAGUGAGAAUAACCUUAUAGGGAGAGACUACAACAGGUUUUGAGACCAGUGGAAUACAAGCACUUUUGCCACUCGUAUUUUGUGCUUUCACAAGCCUGAAAGUAAAACAAUACCAAGGAAAACCUGUUCUCGGAAGCACAGGAUCAACCGUUUGUGUUUUCAAUCCAGAGAUUCCACAACUCUCUGAAUACAACCACAAGAAAAUCGACAACCCUUCUUUAAUAAAUUUUUUGUUUAUAUUUCUUCGAUUAAUCUUUCUCACCCUAAACAUGCACAAAACAGGUUUAAGGAUAGCAGAUCACCUCUUCAAAUCCUGCCCACCUCAGCUAAGAUGUAUACAGGCUGUGCAGUCAGUGCUACUACUGAGUCAAAAACAAUUGACGAGUUGCUUUUACUUGAUCUUGCCUUGGACAAGAAUGCAAGUUUCGUAUGCCAAGCAACUAUUGUUGAAUUCAAUUUGACUAAGGGCUGGUGGUACAAAUCAUGCCCGUCUUGCCAUAAAGUUGUCAAGAAAAACUCUGAAUCGUUUGAGUGCAAUGAACAUGGGUUCAUAAACAGAUUACCCGAACCAUG